GAUGAACGCUGACAGAAUGCUUAACGCAUGCAAGUCUUUGGCGAAGCUGUGCUUGCACAGCCUAGCCAAGGCGGACGGGUGAGUAACGCGUAAGGAACUUGCCCUGCAGUCAGGGAUAACAGACGGAAACGACUGAUAAGACCUGGUAAAGUCAGGCGGACUCAUGUCCAGCCUGAUGAAAAGAGAUGCUGCAGGAGAGCCUUGCGUCCUAUUAGCUUGUUGGUGGGGUAACGGCCCACCAAGGCGAUGAUAGGUAGCCGGCCUGAGAGGGUGGACGGCCACAAGGGGACUGAGAUACGGCCCUUACUCCUACGGGAGGCAGCAGUGGGGAAUAUUGGACAAUGGGGGCAACCCUGAUCCAGCAAUUCUGUGUGCACGAUGAAGGUUUUCGGAUUGUAAAGUGCUUUCAGCUGGGAAGAAAAAAAUGACGGUACCUGCAGAAGAAGCGACGGCUAAAUACGUG
rnacentral:rRNA from 1 species